rnacentral:piRNA from 1 species
AAGUUAGACACACGGGUGACUGCUG